AUGUCCUGCAUGGUAAAGAAAGUGAGGACUCUGUCUUACCUGCUAUUUUCUCGUCACCUACUUUAUGAAAAAAGCAAUGGUUUAAGGAAGGAAAUACGCCCAGAAGAAACUAUGAUUUCUUCCCAAGAGUGUUUGGCAUCAAAGCUAAGAGAAAGAAAGAGAAGAACAAAAAAACAGGAACUGAGAGACAGGAUCUCACCAUGUUGCCCAUGCUGGUCUCAAACUCCUGGGCUCAAACAAUCCACCUGCCUUGGCCUCCCAAAGUCCUGUGAUUACAGACAUGAGCCACCAUGCCCAGCUUCAAAUAUCCUUGAUGGGAAAAUUGUACCCUUCGCUGAGGAAAGAGAUGCUUCUUCAGUUAAACUUGAUUCUUCAAGUCAUAAAGGGAUAGAAGAUGAGCAUCCAAGUCCCUGUAAACCACUAUGUGUAGCUCCAUCACCUACGCUAGAGUGCAAUGGUAUGAUCAUAGCUCAUUGCAGCCUCAAACCCCUGGGCUCAAGCAAUCCUCCUGCCUCAGCCUCCCAAGUAGCUUGGACUACAGGUAAGAACUACAGGUGA
rnacentral:lncRNA from 1 species